UCCCUGGGCUUCCGUAGUCUGACGUCACGCCGGCCGGUCCCAACGCCGCCAGGCGGGCGGGGGUGGUGUGGCCGAGCCUAUGGAGCGAUCCACAGCCAACCUCGCCAGGGACCCUGUCAGCGGCCACCGAGGCAGAACUACAGCGGUCACCACGCGCCACGCACUGCGGAGGGCAGUGGCGGCUGGGAAGCGCUUUCAGAGUCAGGGCUCCCGAGCGCUCCGCCCUCAACACCCGUCAGGAAUGGAAUGGUCCAUCCGCCCGCGACGCCCGCCCGCCCCCGGCGCAUGCGCAGGGCGACGGGCCACGGUCCCCACGUCCCUUUCUAAGACCUGAAGUUUGGGGAGAGGAGAGCUGGCCCACUGGGUGAUUCAGAGUCUCCUCUGCUGCCUGUGGGUCAAGAUGCGGAACUCUCAGCUCCUUCUCCCGCACCGUGUCUGCUUCCCGCCAUGACCACAUGGGACGAAACCUCUGAAACUGCAAGCCAGCCCCAAUGAAGUGUUUUCCUUUAAAA